AUUGAACGCUGGCGGCAGGCCUAACACAUGCAAGUCGAACGGUAACAGGAAGCAGCUUGCUGCUUUGCUGCCGAGUGGCGGACGGGUGAGUAAUGUCUGGGAAACUGCCCGAUGGAGGGGGAUAACUACUGGAAACGGUAGCUAAUACCGCAUAACGUCGCAAGACCAAGAGGGGGACCUUAGGGCCUCUUGCCAUCGGAUGUGCCCAGAUGGGAUUAGCUAGUAGGUGGGGUAACGGCUCACCUAGGCGACGAUCCCUAGCUGGUCUGAGAGGAUGACCAGCCACACUGGAACUGAGACACGGUCCAGACUCCUACGGGAGGCAGCAGUGGGGAAUAUUGCACAAUGGGCGCAAGCCUGAUGCAGCCAUGCCGCGUGUAUGAAGAAGGCCUUCGGGUUGUAAAGUACUUUCAGCGGGGAGGAAGGGAGUAAAGUUAAUACCUUUGCUCAUUGACGUUACCCGCAGAAGAAGCACCGGCUAACUCCGUG
rnacentral:rRNA from 1 species